UGUUCUAUUAUCUCCUAAGCCCUAUACAUAUUACUCUGUAAUACUCCUUUGAUCCCUAUUUCUCACAGUGCUCUAUCCUCCAAAGGUUGGAAGACUCACUCUAUCUACAGAUAUCUCUCUGGGCAUAUUUUAUUACUGCGCUGACCUCCUGGCCCUGCCUUCCCCCUUCAGAACCUGUGCCAAAUUGUGCAGAUGUACGAGGGACAUUCCCAGCAGCCUGGUCUGCAACCCAGAUUGCAGAGAUGGAGCUCUCAGACUUUGAGGACUGCCUGACAUUAUUUGCAGGAGACCCAGGACUUGGGCCUGAGGAACUGCGGGCAGCCAUGGGCAAAGCAAAACAGUUGUGGGGUCCCCCCCGGGGAUUUCGUCCUGAGCAGAUCCUGCAGCUUGGUAGGCUCUUAAUAGGUCUAGGAGAUCGGGAACUACAGGAGCUGAUCCUAGUGGACUGGGGAGUGCUGAGCACCCUGGGGCAGAUAGAUGGCUGGAGCACCACUCAGCUCCGCAUUGUGGUCU
rnacentral:lncRNA from 1 species